CUAAAGCUAUGUGACAUGAUAUUGGGUGGUGAAAGCAGAAUAUUAAAUCUAGACUAACUAAGAGCAUCAACAAAGGAAAUGACACAGAAGCAAAGGGAGAUGAAGAUUAUCUUCGCUUUAUCUUUUUGGUAUUUUCAUAUUAUUUUAGAAACUAAAAUACACACACAGGACAUCAUCAUCGACAGAAAGGAAGUACCAAUAUAUGAUCACAAAUAUAACUAUUAGUUAUAUAUAAGAAGAAAAGCACAGAACAAAGAUAAUGGGACAAGGACAGAAAUGUUUAACACCACAGAAUUAUAUAUAUCACACAGGUAUUACAAACUGAAAAUUACUACGGCAACUACAACACACAGGGGAUAUAUAUAGCUAAUUAUUGAGCAUACAAACUGAGUGAUACAUGCCACAAUCCAGUUCACACAUCCACAAAUAAAGCAUAAGUCUGAAACUAAACAAGUAGGUUACUAACACUUAACAAAUCUGAAUGUUACACAUCAUAUAUGUCUCAAGUUAUUUCAGAGAGAGAGAUAGCAGUAGGUAGGUUAAGGGAAGUGUAGCAGGGGAAGUAGAGAGAGAUAGCAGCAGGAGGUUGAGGGCCGCGGCAGCAGCAGCAAGAGGAGAAGCAAAAAGGGGCGCUGGAGAUAGAGCAGCAGGAGGAGGCGCUGGAGAUGAGCAGCAUUAGCAUGGGGAUAAAGAGCAGCAGCAGUGUGGAGGGUUGAGAGAGCAGCGGGGCAAGGGGAUCAGCAGCAGGUUCAGCGAAGCAGAGGCAAGUACUAGAGAUUAAGAAGAGCAGCAGGGCCGUGGGGGACGAAGGGAGAUAGCAAGGGGGAUGGAGAGUAGUAGCAGUAGCAAAGAGGAAGAAUUGAGUGGAGAAGAGGAGAGUAGAGAGCAGAGGGUUGUCGCACGGAGCACCAGACACUGCCUCGCCCUCGUCUGGUCAGGCACGCCGGUGUAGGGUGGAGGUGCGGUGGAGGCGCUGGUGGUGCUGAUGGUGGGAGAGGGAUUGGAUGGAUGGUGGUGCUGGUGAGGUGCGGCGGCGAAGUGGAGCUGGUGGCGCUGGCGGCAGGAGGUGAUGGUGGCGCUGGGUGUUGGUGCUGGUGGGUGGAUGGGCUGCGGAGGCGCACCACCACGCCGGCCUGGCCGUGGCGGCGGCCGGAGGUGGUGAAGGAGUGGUGAGGGGGGGAGAGAUGGAGAUGUGGCCAGGCCCGAAGGGAAUUGAGGCUGCGCUAGAGAUUUUGAUCCCCUCCCCUGUUCUGCCACUUUACAAUUUGGCCUUGCUAUUUCUCUUCUUUCUUCCCAAGUUGGUCCUGCCAUCCAUAGCGUGGCCCCUUGAUUACUUCAAUUCUUCUCGCUCAAGUCCCUUUCUUCGCUUCUUUCCUGCCCUUCGCUCUUCUCAAUAGCCAAUUUGUCCAAAUCUUGAAGUUUAUAGUGCCUUUGCGCACUUUUCUGCAAAAUAAUCAAAUGACAAGUAAAUGAUCUUUUAUAUGAUUUUCAUUCAAAUAUAUCAUAGUUCAUAACAAGAAUGGAUUGUUGGAUCACAAUAAAUGGUGUGUUUGUGUGCCAAAAUAGUAUAUAAGAAAUGUGCUUAUCAAGUUCCUCCACAGUUAAACUUUUGCUUGUCCUCAAGCAAAGGAAUAUGACAAGAGCUAGAUAAUGAACAGUGAGCUGACUGGAGAAUGUCCCAGUGAAGUAGAUCUCCAAACAAAACAUGCUUUGGACUUAGCUAAUGAAAAUUAAUGGUUAAGAGUGCUACAGAGCAAUAGAAUACUAGUAAGCAUGACCAUUUUAAACUUUUACAAUGAUAAAAGAGGAUCAACAAGUUUAAAUGAUGACUGUGCCAAAUGGUUCCUAAAGAGAGCAUGAUCCCAAGAACAAAAUGAACUGGAAUUAAAUCUUGUGAUCAAAUCACUUAUUUACAGAGAUAAAGCAAUGAUUAUAUUAUUAUUAGUCUCACCAUAGGAACAUACCACCGAUCCCGAGAACAUGGUAUACACCUGGCUCGACCAAUUAUUAGUUUUUUGUUUGUCUCCCCAAAGGAACAUACCACCGAUCCCGAGAACAUGGUAUACACCUGGUUUGACAAUUACAUUUUUAUUUAUUUAUUACUGUCCAAGCUACCGGAUUUCACAUGCCACCGAUCCCGGGAACAUGACAUGGUACUGUAGGUAGCCGGACUUAUUUAUUCAUUAUUACUUAUCUUAAAUGAACAACACAUAAGCACAAAAAUAGGAAUCAUCACUUCUCCAUGUCUGGUUCACAUGCUACCGAUCCAGGGAACAUAGCAUGCUAAUCCAUAAUUGUUAGGUGAUUGCUCUCAAUGGGAACACAUUAGGCACAAACUCAGCAUCUGACACUUAAUGAUCUAGGUGUAUCAAGGUAAAAGCAGAAAAUGAUUAGGUUUUCUAGUGUACUAGGGAUUUGAGCACUCAAAACUAAUAGCUUUCACUAAUUUCGGCAAAGCAAGCAUUGUGUAGAUUACUAGGUUACAAGGCAUUCAACACUCACUUCACAUAUUCACAUCAAGCACCAUAUGUCAAAUAAAAUUCAGUGGGGCAACAUUUAAGGCAUGGCUUAAGCAACCCAAAUAACAUUUGAUUUCAGCAUGUAUUUAUGAUAUUCAGAAUGGAUCAUGAAACAUCUCACCGGGCUUUGAUCAUGUAGCACUCGCUCGAUCACCUCACCAGCUGCAGCUCUUCUCCCUUGCUUCCUCAUGGAUGCUCCAGCUUCACUCUUCCAUAUGUGUGCCCCAUUGCUUCUCCUCAUCGCCAUGCUCUGACUCCACCAGGAUCCCAAGGAAUGUCACCUCGAACCUGGUCAGCAUGUAGUUAACAGUGCAGUAGCAAAAGCCUGAAAUAGGACUCACACAAACAACUACAAGUGAUGCGGUCGAUGUCCUCCAAGUCAUCAAUGGAAUAUCCAAUUAUAUAAGCAUAACUAUAAAGCACAUGUUUAGGAUGGCAGAAAUCAGCGUGGUCAAUACUCACACGAGGAUGACAUUUAUCAUUAAUCUCAAGACUAGCAUGAGGAAAGUAAUUGUGAUCAUCACAAAUGAGAGCAAUGCCACCAACAGUGUAUGUAUCAUCAUAUCCAAGUAAAUGUUUUUUCAAAUCAAUCUUAAGUGAUGGCAUCAUGUAAUGCAAGGUAGAAGCAAAUAAAUCAUAAGGACUCAUGUCAUCAAGAGGAUUGGGUAAACCUGACACAUCAUGCUCAUGUAUGAUAAUAGGCCAAUGAAUCUUAGGUUCUUCAUCUUCAUCUACAGCAGCUUCUUGUACUUCUUCAGGAGUAGUAGAUGAUGAGUCUUCAACUUGAUCACUUGGGAAUUGCAGCUCUUGACCAUCUUGUUCCUUGUCUUCUAGUUCAUCUUAUUCAAUCUGAGGUAUCUCUUGCUCAAGGCACUUGCUAUCUUGCUCAACGAAAUGUGAAGGUGUUGGAACCUCACAUGUAUCCAUGGAUAUCUCACCCACACUCAACUCAAGUUGUGAAGAAAUAGUGUUGCCAGCGUUGAUGUUCUUCUCAAUAUUCCUUACUUCUUCCACUAGCUCUUUUCCACUCUCGAUCUUCUUCAUUUCCUCUAGAAUAACCUUCCUAAUAGGAUCAUCCUCGGCACUCCAAGUGAACUCAAGACUAAGCAAUGUGAGCUUGUCUAUAUCAUCAAAGUCAUCUUGUGUGGGCACUUGUGUUGAAGGUGUUGGUUGACCAAAUGGAGGACCAUUUAACUCCAUUGGCAACAUGUCCUGGUGUUGAGGUAUAUGACUAGGAGCUGAAUAAAUCUGUUGUGGAGCAUAGUUGUGGCUCUCCUCUUCAUACCUAAAUCCCUGCAUUGGAUAACUAGAGGCAAAUGAUGAGAUCUCAGGGUUAUUGCUCCUAUAUGACAUAUUCUGGUUUUCAGUCCACCCAUGUGUGUAAUUGUUUUGGUAUGAGCUAGGCUAUGGGGCGAAGUUCAUGCCAUAACAAUCGGGAAGAUGGGAGUAACCACGCUGACAUUCAGCGGGCGAAUGGCCCUGAAAUCCACAAAUAUGGCAAGUAGGAGCAACAUAAGGAUGUCCUCUGGAAUAAGGAUCGUAAGAACUAGGCCUAUCCUCAAAAACUCCUUCUCGCUGCCGAGCUAAAUCAUCUAAUCGAUGGUAAAUCUUACCUAUCAGUUCUUGAACACUUUCCAUGCUGUUUGUAGUGUUGCUCGCAUAAGCCUGAUGAUCUGAAUAGUAAGCCAUAACCGAGAAGAUAGUUCUAACCUGCAAAAAGGAAAAGAAAACAAAAAAGAUACUAACUAGAACAUGGGUUAGUGGUUAGAGAUAUAUCACAAAUAUAUGGCACAAACUAGAAAAAGAAUAAAAACCUAGUCUAUAGCCUAACACAGUCACACGAUGCUAGUCCCCGGCAACGGCGCCAAAAUGGUCGAUUGUAAGUAUAGCGGGGUUUUUACGCCACAAACUACGGAAGUCGUGUUCUCCACAGGGACUAGGAGACGGCAACUAUGCUCUGCUAAAGCUAGGUAACAUGAUAUUGGGUGGUGAAAGCACAAUAUUAAAUCUAGACUAACUAAGAGCAUCAACAAAGGAAAUGACAUAGAAGCAAAGGGAGAUGAAGAUUAUCUUCGCUUUAUCUUUUUGGUAUUUUCAUAUUAUUUUAGAAACUAAAAUAUGCAAACGGGACAUCAUCAUCGACAGAAAGGAAGUACCAAUAUAUGAUCACCAAUAAAACUAUUAGUUAUAUAUAAGAAGAAAAGCACAGAACAAAGAUAAUGGGACAAGGACAGAAAUGUUUAACACCACAUAAUUAUAUAUAUCACACAUGUAUUACAAACUGAAAAUUACGACGGCAAGUACAACACAUAGGGGAUAUAUAUAGCUAAUUAUUGAGCAUACAAACUGAGUGAUACAUGCCACGAUCCAGUUCACACAUCCACAAAUAAAGCAUAAGUCUAAAACUGAACAAGUAGGUUACUAACACUUAACAAAUCUGAAUGUUACACAUCAUAUAUGUCUCAAGUUAUUUCAGAGAGAGAGAUAGCAGUAGGUAGGUUAGCGGAAGUGUAGCAGGGGAAGUAGAGAGAGAUAGCAGGAGGAAGUUGAGGGCGGCAGCAGCAGCAGCAAGAGGAGAAGCAAAAAGGGGCGCUGGAGAUAGAGCAGCAGCAGGAGGCGCUGGAGAUGAGCAGCAGUAGCAUGGGGAUAAAGAGCAGCAGCAGUGUGGAGGGUUGAGAGAGCAGCGGGGCAAGGGGAUCAGCAGAAGGUUCAGCGAAGCAGAGGCAAGGACCAUAGAUUGAGAAGAGCAGCAGGGCCGUGGGGGACGAAGGGAGAUAGAAAGGGGGAUGGAGAGUAGUAGCAGUAGCAAAGAGGAAGAAUUGAGUGGAGAAGAGGAGAGAAGAGAGCAAAGGGUUGUCGCGCGGAGCACCAGACACUGCCUCGCCCUCGUCUGGUCAGGCACGCCGGCGUGGGCUGGAGGUGCGGUGGAGGCGCUGGUGGUGCUGAUGGUGGGAGAGGGAUUUGAUUGGUGGUCCUGGUGAGGUGCGGCGGCGAAGUGGAGCUGGUGGCGCUAGCGGCAGGAGGUGAUGGUGGCACUGGGUGUUGGUGCUGGUGGGUGGAUGGGCUGCGGAGGCGCACCACCACGCCGGCCGGGCCGUGGAGGCGGCCGGAGGUGGAGAAGGAGUGGUGAGGGGGGAGAGAGAUGGAGAUGUGGCCA
rnacentral:lncRNA from 1 species